UUCCAAAUCACGAUGAAGUUUUUGUUUCAGCUGCCUUGUUGUUCAUGCUUCUGUUUCGUUGAGCCAAAGAAGGGGAAACACAAGGACGGAGAGACAAAGGAGUGAUGAGAAAGCGUCUUCAAAGAGAGAAUACAAAUCUCUAUUUGAUUAAUCUUUUUGGGGUCAAUUUCUUUCUGUUGUGUGUCCGUUUCUGAAUAAUGUUUUUACUAAAAAAAGAGAAGAUCAUUUUUGAUGUAUCCUUCUCUGGAUUUGUAUGUAUGAUCACUAUCUCACUUACUUAAGCUUCUCUUGAUAUGAUUUCAAAU